UUAAGCGACUAAGCGUACACGGUGGAUGCCCUGGCAGUCAGAGGCGAUGAAGGACGUGCUAAUCUGCGAUAAGCGUCGGUAAGGUGAUAUGAACCGUUAUAACCGGCGAUUUCCGAAUGGGGAAACCCAGUGUGUUUCGACACACUAUCAUUAACUGAAUCCAUAGGUUAAUGAGGCGAACCGGGGGAACUGAAACAUCUAAGUACCCCGAGGAAAAGAAAUCAACCGAGAUUCCCCCAGUAGCGGCGAGCGAACGGGGAGCAGCCCAGAGCCUGAAUCAGUGUGUGUGUUAGUGGAAGCGUCUGGAAAGGCGUGCGAUACAGGGUGACAGCCCCGUACACAAAAAUGCACAUAUUGUGAGCUCGAUGAGUAGGGCGGGACACGUGGUAUCCUGUCUGAAUAUGGGGGGACCAUCCUCCAAGGCUAAAUACUCCUGACUGACCGAUAGUGAACCAGUACCGUGAGGGAAAGGCGAAAAGAACCCCGGCGAGGGGAGUGAAAAAGAACCUGAAACCGUGUACGUACAAGCAGUGGGAGCACGCUUAGGCGUGUGACUGCGUACCUUUUGUAUAAUGGGUCAGCGACUUAUAUUCUGUAGCAAGGUUAACCGAAUAGGGGAGCCGAAGGGAAACCGAGUCUUAACUGGGCGUUAAGUUGCAGGGUAUAGACCCGAAACCCGGUGAUCUAGCCAUGGGCAGGUUGAAGGUUGGGUAACACUAACUGGAGGACCGAACCGACUAAUGUUGAAAAAUUAGCGGAUGACUUGUGGCUGGGGGUGAAAGGCCAAUCAAACCGGGAGAUAGCUGGUUCUCCCCGAAAGCUAUUUAGGUAGCGCCUCGUGAAUUCAUCUCCGGGGGUAGAGCACUGUUUCGGCAAGGGGGUCAUCCCGACUUACCAACCCGAUGCAAACUGCGAAUACCGGAGAAUGUUAUCACGGGAGACACACGGCGGGUGCUAACGUCCGUCGUGAAGAGGGAAACAACCCAGACCGCCAGCUAAGGUCCCAAAGUCAUGGUUAAGUGGGAAACGAUGUGGGAAGGCCCAGACAGCCAGGAUGUUGGCUUAGAAGCAGCCAUCAUUUAAAGAAAGCGUAAUAGCUCACUGGUCGAGUCGGCCUGCGCGGAAGAUGUAACGGGGCUAAACCAUGCACCGAAGCUGCGGCAGCGACGCUUAUGCGUUGUUGGGUAGGGGAGCGUUCUGUAAGCCUGUGAAGGUGUACUGUGAGGUAUGCUGGAGGUAUCAGAAGUGCGAAUGCUGACAUAAGUAACGAUAAAGCGGGUGAAAAGCCCGCUCGCCGGAAGACCAAGGGUUCCUGUCCAACGUUAAUCGGGGCAGGGUGAGUCGACCCCUAAGGCGAGGCCGAAAGGCGUAGUCGAUGGGAAACAGGUUAAUAUUCCUGUACUUGGUGUUACUGCGAAGGGGGGACGGAGAAGGCUAUGUUGGCCGGGCGACGGUUGUCCCGGUUUAAGCGUGUAGGCUGGUUUUCCAGGCAAAUCCGGAAAAUCAAGGCUGAGGCGUGAUGACGAGGCACUACGGUGCUGAAGCAACAAAUGCCCUGCUUCCAGGAAAAGCCUCUAAGCAUCAGGUAACAUCAAAUCGUACCCCAAACCGACACAGGUGGUCAGGUAGAGAAUACCAAGGCGCUUGAGAGAACUCGGGUGAAGGAACUAGGCAAAAUGGUGCCGUAACUUCGGGAGAAGGCACGCUGAUAUGUAGGUGAAGUCCCUCGCGGAUGGAGCUGAAAUCAGUCGAAGAUACCAGCUGGCUGCAACUGUUUAUUAAAAACACAGCACUGUGCAAACACGAAAGUGGACGUAUACGGUGUGACGCCUGCCCGGUGCCGGAAGGUUAAUUGAUGGGGUCAGCGCAAGCGAAGCUCUUGAUCGAAGCCCCGGUAAACGGCGGCCGUAACUAUAACGGUCCUAAGGUAGCGAAAUUCCUUGUCGGGUAAGUUCCGACCUGCACGAAUGGCGUAAUGAUGGCCAGGCUGUCUCCACCCGAGACUCAGUGAAAUUGAACUCGCUGUGAAGAUGCAGUGUACCCGCGGCAAGACGGAAAGACCCCGUGAACCUUUACUAUAGCUUGACACUGAACAUUGAGCCUUGAUGUGUAGGAUAGGUGGGAGGCUUUGAAGUGUGGACGCCAGUCUGCAUGGAGCCGACCUUGAAAUACCACCCUUUAAUGUUUGAUGUUCUAACGUGGACCCGUAAUCCGGGUUGCGGACAGUGUCUGGUGGGUAGUUUGACUGGGGCGGUCUCCUCCUAAAGAGUAACGGAGGAGCACGAAGGUUGGCUAAUCCUGGUCGGACAUCAGGAGGUUAGUGCAAUGGCAUAAGCCAGCUUGACUGCGAGCGUGACGGCGCGAGCAGGUGCGAAAGCAGGUCAUAGUGAUCCGGUGGUUCUGAAUGGAAGGGCCAUCGCUCAACGGAUAAAAGGUACUCCGGGGAUAACAGGCUGAUACCGCCCAAGAGUUCAUAUCGACGGCGGUGUUUGGCACCUCGAUGUCGGCUCAUCACAUCCUGGGGCUGAAGUAGGUCCCAAGGGUAUGGCUGUUCGCCAUUUAAAGUGGUACGCGAGCUGGGUUUAGAACGUCGUGAGACAGUUCGGUCCCUAUCUGCCGUGGGCGCUGGAGAACUGAGGGGGGCUGCUCCUAGUACGAGAGGACCGGAGUGGACGCAUCACUGGUGUUCGGGUUGUCAUGCCAAUGGCACUGCCCGGUAGCUAAAUGCGGAAGAGAUAAGUGCUGAAAGCAUCUAAGCACGAAACUUGCCCCGAGAUGAGUUCUCCCUGACUCCUUGAGAGUCCUGAAGGAACGUUGAAGACGACGACGUUGAUAGGCCGGGUGUGUAAGCGCAGCGAUGCGUUGAGCUAACCGGUACUAAUGAACCGUGAGGCUUAACCUU
rnacentral:rRNA from 1 species